CCCUCCUGGGUCACCUGCUGCUCAGGGAGUUACUGCUGCUCAGUCUGUGGUGACUUUCUCCUUUCCAGUGUGUAAUGUCACCUCAGGUGUCAGGGGCCUGAGGAGCUUGUAUCCUCCUGCAUUCAUGAGAAGCCAAGCAUGCCCUGAAGACAGCACAGGUCCAGAAGCAAGAGGGCAAAAGCUGUGGCAGAGGACUGACUGCCCAGGAGGCCAUAUUGUGCCGGAACAUCAACGGUGCUAUGGCCUUCCUGCCUAGUGCCAAGAACCCACUCAGGGAAAUGGGAAAAUCAAUCUGAGCGUCAUUAAGAGAAAAUUCCCCACAGAAGAUUGCUGGUGACGAUGGAUCUGUCACCUAACUUACCUUCUGCGCCUAACUGGGAUUUCUUCUACAGGGCAUGAGACAGGACAUGGUACUAUUUCAUUGCCUGGAUGCAAGGCUUUUCCUCACUUGCCAAGUUUUCAUUCCAUUGUUCCACGGCCAUCUAUGAAUCCCAUCUCCACCCUGAUUAAUUAGCUUCCAACUCCUUCAUAUUGACCCAACGAUAUUGGCUGGCUUCAUUAGUGUCAGGAAACCUCUAAGAAUGUUUCUGUAGACUCUGAUGAAAUGCCCUUUUCUCUUGCCCUGUUGGAGAUAUACCCCAGGAGCAGGAGGUGAUCCGUCAUGCCGUCUCCUGCACUGCGUGCAGUAAAUGCCAAAAUGAUAGCUCGGCACUCCAUGCAGCUGGGUGUACAUGCUGCCUGGUAACUAGGGAGGGCUCCAUGUCCUCCUUCUGGAACCCCUUGGGACUGCCGUCUUUCCACUUCCGGACGCUGCCUGAAUGGGUCUAAGCACCAAACUCGGCCUGUGGAGGUGCUGGCUGUCCAACUUGCCUCUCAUAGCAGCCCCACAGCUCAGAGAUCAGAGAACCUGAUUUACAAACGUCUGCCUCUUUUGAUCGACUUUGAUCCUCUGGGGAGAGACGGGAGUAAAAGUCUUGAAGCUGAAUGUUUUCUAAUCUGUCACAAAGAGAACCGGAUGGGAAGAAUGAUACAAAAUGCCUGGGAAGGGAGAGGAACUUUAGCUAAGAGCCGUAUGCAUAACGGAUUGUACUCAGUAAAAUGCCUCAUAGGGUGUGGUUACUCACUGUCUGGCUGGAAUUAAAAUUCCAAUAGCUGCUU